CUCUGUGACUCCUACGGGAGGCAGCAGUGGGGAAUAUUGCACAAUGGGCGCAAGCCUGAUGCAGCAACGCCGCGUGAGCGAUGAAGGCCUUCGGGUCGUAAAGCUCUGUCCUCAAGGAAGAAUAAAUGACGGUACUUGAGGAGGAAGCCCCGGCUAACUACGUGCCAGCAGCCGCGGUAAUACGUAGGGGGCAAGCGUUAUCCGGAAUCACUGGGCGUAAAGGGUGCGUAGGCGGUUUUUCAAGUCAGAAGUGAAAGGCUAUGGCUCAACCAUAGUAAGCUUUUGAAACUGUUAAACUUGAGUGCAGGAGAGGAAAGUGGAAUUCCUAGUGUAGAGGUGAAAUUCGUAGAUAUUAGGAGGAACACCCAGUGGCGAAGGCGACUUUCUGGACUGUAACUGACGCUGAGGCACGAAAGCGUGGGGAGCGAACAGGAUUAGAUACCCUGGUAG
rnacentral:rRNA from 1 species